UACAAAAUCGUUGAGUUGCGAGACUCGAAAACCAUCGCGAACAUACCUUGUCGUUGCUUCGGCGGGCGGCCCCCAGUCUGGGGCGCCUCGGGACGCCGUAGCCCGAGAGGGCGCCCGCCGGAGGACCUACCAAAAUCACCUCUGUUUCCUCGCGUCUCUCUGAGUUUGACUAGCGAAUUUACGUUAAAACUUUCAACAACGGAUCUCUUGGUUCUGGCAUCGAUGAAGAACGCAGCGAAAUGCGAUAAGUAAUGUGAAUUGCAGAAUUCAGUGAAUCAUCGAAUCUUUGAACGCACAUUGCGCCCGCCAGCAUUCUGGCGGGCAUGCCUGUUCGAGCGUCAUUUCGACCCCUCAAGCCCCUCCGGCUUGGUGUUGGGGCUCCCUACGUUCGCCGUAGGCCCCGAAUUCUAGUGGCGGGCUCGCCGUAAUCCCGAGCGUAGUAGUGUUACCUCGCUCAGGGCGCGCGGCGGGCGCCGGCCGUGAAAACAAAACCCACACAGAAGGUUGACCUCGGAUCAGGUAGGAAUACCCGCUGAACUUAAGCAUAUCAAUAAGCGGAGGAAAAGAAACCAACAGGGAUUGCCCCAGUAACGGCGAGUGAAGCGGCAACAGCUCAAAUUUGAAAUCCGGCUUCGGCCCGAGUUGUAAUUUGCAGAGGAUGCUUUUGGCGCGGCGCCUCCCGAGUCCCCUGGAACGGGGCGCCACAGAGGGUGAGAGCCCCGUAUGGUAGGACGCCUAGCCUGUGUAAAGCUCCUUCGACGAGUC
rnacentral:rRNA from 1 species